UACGUAGGUGGCAAGCGUUGCCCGGAAUCACUGGGCGUAAAGGGCGUGUAGGCGGUCCGCCAAGUCUGAUGUGAAAGCCCGGGGCUCACCCCCGGAAGGGCAUUGGAAACUGGCGGACUCGAGUCCCGGAGAGGAGAGUGGAAUUCCUGGUGUAGCGGUGAAAUGCGUAGAUAUCAGGAGGAACACCGGUGGCGAAGGCGGCUCUCUGGACGGUGACUGACGCUGAGACGCGAAAGCGUGGGGAGCAAACAGG
rnacentral:rRNA from 1 species